ensembl:lncRNA
CUGCAAGCCUCCAGGGUUAUUUUCGAUUCACCCUCCAGAUACCAGGCAUAGGUGUGGACUACCUGCCUGAGAUACAGAUCCUGGACACAGGUGUGCACUGCCUGCCUGGGUUACAGAUCCUGGACACAGGUGUCUACUCCCUGCCUGGGAUACAGAUCCUAGACACAGGUGUGUACUACCUGCCUGGGUUACAGAUCCUGGACACAGGUGUGUACUACCUGCCUGGGUUACAGAUACUGGAUACAGGUGUGUAAUCUCUGCCUGGAUACAGAUCCUGGGAUACAGGUGUGUACUCCCUGCCUGGGAUACAGAUUCUGGGUAAAGGAGUCUACUCCCUGCCUGGGAUACAAAUCCUGGAAACAGAUGUGUACUCCAUGCAUGGAUACAGAUCCUGGACACAGGUGUGUACCACCUGCCUGGGAUACAGAUCCUGGACACACCUGUGUACUGCCUGCCGGGAUACAGAUCUUGGACUAUCUGUUUGGAUACAGAUCCUGGAAAACCUGAAUGGGAUACAGAUCCUGGAUACAGCUGUGUACCACCUGGGAUACAGAUCCUGCACAAAGGUGUGUACUAAUUGCCUGGAUACAGAUCCUGGGAUACAGAUCCUAGUAUACCACCUGCCAGGGAUACAGAUAAUGGACUCCCUGCCUGGAUACAAAUCCUGUCCUACCUGCCUGAGAUACACAUCCUGGAUACAGGUGUGUAUCACCUGCCUGGGUUACAGAUCCUGGACAUAGGUGUGUACUACCUGUCUGGGAUACAGAGGCUGGAUACAGGUGUGUACUCCCUGCCUUGGAUACAGAUCCUGGACUCCCUGCCAGGGAUACAGAUCCUGGAUAAAGAUCCUGGACACAGGUGUGUACUACAUGCUUGGGAUACAGAUCUUGGACUCCCUGCCUGGGACACAGAUCCUGGUUACAGAUAUGAACACAGGUGUGUACUACCUGCCUGGGAUACAGAUCCUGCACUCUGCCUGAAAUACAGAUCCUGGACAAAGGUGUGUGCUACCUGCCUGGGUUACAGAUAAACAAGAAGGCCUCAUCAAACAUGUGGAUAGGAUAAGUAUUUAAAGACAGAGAAAUAUGAAUUAUACACAUUUGCUGAGCACACACAUAUACCUAUUAGGAACCAUUGCACUGUAUUCUAAUAGAAUGUGCAGUAUUACUUGUGUAUUAAAAUAAACUGUGAACAAUGUCAGAAGAAAUCUUCUUAGGGACCCAAGUUUGGUGGGGCAAACUUGUAUUCAUAGCACUUGGGAUGCUCAGGUUGGAGGGAGGGCUUUUUAAAGAUAUCCUGGGCUAAAUAUAAGAGGUUUGGUUUCAGAAAAAAGUUAAGCAAACUGAAAACAAACAUGUCUGCAUUAGAAGGUUAGCAAUGUGCAAAUAUUGUAUCUUUGUGCAUCAAAAGCUAUUCAUUUCUC